AUCAACUUUCGAUGGUAGGAUAGAGGCCUACCAUGGUGGUAACGGGUAACGGGGUGUUAGGGCACGACACCGGGGAGGGAGCCUGAGAAACGGCUACCACAUCCAAGGAUGGCAGCAGGCGCGCAAAUUACCCAAUCCCGACACGGGGAGGUAGUGACAAUAAAUAACAAUACGGGGUUCUUUCGGAUCUCGUAAUUGGAAUGAGUACAAUUUAAAUCUCUUAACAAGGAACAAUUGGAGGGCAAGUCUGGUGCCAGCAGCCGCGGUAAUUCCAGCUCCAAUAGCGUAUAUUAAAGUUGUUGCAGUUAAAAAGCUCGUAGUUGAAUUUCGGGGUUAGUAGGUUGGUCAUGCCUCUGGUAUGUACUGGUCUCACUGAUUCCUCCUUCCUGAUGAACCGUAAUGCCAUUAAUUUGGUGUUGCGGGGAAUUUGGACUGUUACUUUGAAAAAAUUAGAGUGUUUAAAGCAAGCUAACGCUUGAAUACAUUAGCAUGGAAUAAUGAAAUAGGACGUUCGAUCCUAUUUUGUUGGUUUCUAGGAUUGACGUAAUGAUUAAUAGGGAUAGUUGGGGGCAUUAGUAUUCAAUUGUCAGAGGUGAAAUUCUUGGAUUUAUUGAAGACUAACUACUGCGAAAGCAUUUGCCAAGGAUGUUUUCAUUAAUCAAGAACGAAAGUUAGGGGAUCGAAGACGAUCAGAUACCGUCGUAGUCUUAACCAUAAACUAUGCCGACUAGGGAUCGGAUGAUGUUAAUUUUUUAAUGACUCAUUCGGCGCCUUACGGGAAACCAAAGUGUUUGGGUUC
rnacentral:rRNA from 1 species